rnacentral:tRNA from 1 species
GGGGAAUUCGCUCAGCUGGUAGAGCGCUCGAUUUGCAUGAGAGAGGUACCGGGAUCGAUACCCGGAUUCUCCA